AUAAAAAAAUACACGAGAGGACCGUGUGUUCUACACAUGAAUUUGCGCAUGUUGUCAAAGCAAAUCAAUAUCACGUGUAAAACAUAUGACAUCGCUCAUUCGAAACUCUGCAUUUGUUUAUAAACAAACCACACGGUAUUAACGUGUAAAACAAAUAGAAUUCUGUUGCUUGACUUGUCAGAGUCACUUGUUUGAUAUGUGAUAUCGAAAGAAAUGCUGAACCACACCAACCAGCAUUAACGAACUGAGGCCGAAGAGUUUAUUCUAGGACAGAUCGCCAGGAAAUUCAAAGGAUUGCUGCCGGAAAACGUGAUCGGUUCGGUGCUGAUGCCUACCAAUAAUAGGAAGCCGCCAUGAAGUACGUACGUCGCAAAGGAUAUUCCGAGGGACCGAUACUGAGGAUUCGUCGUUGUUUUUAUGAAAAACAAAUGCCGCAGCAGUGGGAAGAAAACAUGCAAUAAAUAAGAAAAUGCACCAAGUUAGUAUGCUCCGAUUAGCUUCAACACCAACGAGGAGCCACAGCAGGUCAGGUCAGUUUUCCCAGAGCAAAAAAUUCAAUUUUGAAAUAUUUAUAU